CUUGGAAACUAUUUUGCAACCCAUUAAAGAUCCUUGUAGACCUAGAAGAUUCCCAAAACAAGCUGUCAUAUUCUUGUAGGAAAAGAAUCCAAACCAAAUAGGAAGUCCACAAGUCAAAAGGAAGUAAAUAACAAAAUUCGUACAGUCUUUGUUGACCAAUAUUGCAUUUCCUUCUCGAACUCCAAUUGACCUGAACUCUUAACCCAAGGUAGGACAUGUAAAAUUUUAGCCUGAACCAACGGUCGGAUUGAGAAUUAUAACUAUUGUCGUGAAAUUGGACAGUUGUGCAUUUUAACGUCAUAAUCCGAAUUUAAUUUUUUUU
rnacentral:lncRNA from 1 species